AUGCCACACAGAUGCUGCGUGCGUCUCUGCUCCUGCACCCAGGGAAUCCUUCCAGCAUUCGAAGCACACUCCCAGACAACCAGGCUGCCGAUCCACCUCACACGGCUACAGGGACGCCUGUGUCCUCGGCCUGACGGGAGGCCUCUUGGACCAGAGAGUCCCAGGGGCCCAGCAAACAACCCAAAGGCCUCCGCGGGCUUGCCGUGGGUUCCUAUCCACACACUCUCCAUCCCACCACUCAGCCUGCCCCUGCAGCCUUGCCACUGCACCUGGGUCCAGAAGGUGCUCUGGCGCCGUCUUGUGGACAUCGGCUCUAACAGCAACUCUCAGGGUUUCCUCCUCUCUCUGGCUCAGCCGACCCACCCCACCCCUGUCCUCUCUCUCUCUCUCUGUCUGCCUGCCCUGGCUGGGGGCACUCUGCGCCUUGAAUCGCCUGCCUCCGCCGUCUUGAUCGACCAAGCACUGCCAAUCCAUGUGGGCCAUUGCUCUCUCAAAGGCUUUCAGAGCCUUCAGGCCACCCUACACCUUGCCACUCCAUUCAAACCUUCACCUCCCAACCCAUCAUAUCGUGACAGCCUUCUUCCUUUGGCAGAGAUCCUUGCAAUGAUGUAUUUAGGAAGACAGGUAAGUACGUAGGCAACCAUUGAUUUUGGUCAUAAUGGUGCAGCUGUGAGGCCGUCAUUCCUGUGCCCAAAUCCUGCUUCUUUUCUUUCGUUCCCUUUUUCCCUCUCUUCCCCUCAUGCUUCCUAAUGUGUUGACCCCACCUUAGCUGGCCUGAGGUGUCUGCAUAUCGAUGUCUGGCAAGCCACCGAGGUGAGCACACCCACCACACGGACCAACACAGAUCGUUUACCCAGGGAAUCGGGGGGGGGGAGGGCGCUUGGUGACACCUCUCUUUAUAUCAAUCCACCUACCGGCCUCAGGUCAGAUUUCCAUACCAGCUGUGUGCAGAGAACCGAAGAGGCUCGCAGGUAAAGAAAAGGACGGCGUUUCCGGAGACCUCAGGAGAGAAAAUGCACAGGGAGUAACACGGCUGCUCCCCAAAGGACCACCGUUUUACCACCUUCCAUGCACGACCCUCAGGCACUUUCUCCUCAUACCACAGCCUAGGUCAGGCUGCGGUUUCCCAAUUAGCAGCUCGACAACUGACACCAGCCAACAGCCAAACAAAACCCAAAGCCCAAGGCAAACAUGGCAGAAGACCUGCAUAGACAUUUCCCGAAACAGACAGACACAGGGCCAAAAGCCCUGGGGGAAAAAAAUCACCGCCAUCACUCAUUAGGAGAGACAUGCUCACCCACGCGACUCUGAAUCCCCAAGCCACCCGUCUCUGAAGGGCCAUCUUGACGACGUCUACAAGGAACACCUCCCUGGGAGGGUGUGGACAGGAAGAUGCCCUCCGACGGUCUGGGUGUUUUUGUAAAUGUGGACCCCCGCGAUGGACCACAGGAUCCAGGGAAUCCAAACUCAUCCCUAGAGAACCACCCCACGACCCAGGCAUCCCACUCGCGGUCCUACGUCCGGAAUUGGUUCUGGUAGGAAUUUAAAAGCCCCAUUAUGGUCACGCAGCACUCUGCACAACAGCCAGGCAUGGACAGAAACUCCAUGUCCGUCGAGAGAUGAUUGCAUUCGGAAGAGAAUGUAUAUGUACACAAUGGAAUGCUGCUCCCCCAGGAGGAAAAAAAAAGAAAACACACAGAGCAGAAGACAAAUGCCAUUCGCAGCCACGCAGGGGGCCCUACACACUGUCAUACUACGUGAAAUACGUCAGAACAUGAGGGACAAACACCAAGGGAUAUCCCUUCUAUCCGGAAUCUAACCAGUGGAACCAAUGAACCUUUCUGCAUAAAAGAAACUCAGGGACUGGAAAACCUAUUUGCCGUUGCCAGAUUGUAGGGGGAGGCUGUGGGAAGGACUGGGGUUUGGGAGCGACAGAGUCAAACUCUUGGGCUUGGAGUGUGUUAGCAAGGAAGUCCUGCUCUAUAGCACGGGGAUUAUACCCAGUCACGUCUGGGGUGGGGGGGGGGGAGAAAAGAAAAAAGGAGGAAAACUGAAGGCACUCUGAGAAAAAGAAUAUGUCUCUACAUGGACAACUCGAUCACUCUUUGGUUCAAGUGAAAUAGAGCACCAUAAAUCCGUGAGAAUGGAAAAUCCCACGCAAUUAAUGGCGGAAGGGU
rnacentral:lncRNA from 9 species